rnacentral:tmRNA from 1 species
GGGGGCGUAAAGGUUUCGACAGGGAUCUUGAAGUACCGGAAGCGAGCAGCGGUGCGGAACCGCUAUAAAAUCCGCAAAAAAAAUUAAUUAACAACAAUAACGUUGCUUUAGCAGCCUAAUUUAGGCUGCUCAUCCGACCCGAGAGUACCGCGGCUCGGCAAGGGUGUCAUUUUAGCGGUUAAAGUGAAUAUGGGCUUGCUCCUGCCCGUAUCACUGCUUCGGAGCUACCGAACACACGAGUUUGACAUUUAACGCCUGUGUGAGGGAAUUUAAAGAAAUGUCUGCGCUCGGAGAUGCCGGUAUGGAUUGAUUUUUGGACAGGAGUUCGACUCUCCUCGCCUCCACCA